rnacentral:rRNA from 1 species
CCUACGGGUGGCAGCAGUGGGGAAUAUUGGACAAUGGGCGAAAGCCUGAUCCAGCCAUGCCGCGUGUGUGAAGAAGGCCUUCGGGUUGUAAAGCACUUUCAGUGGGGAAGAAAGCCUUGGGGCUAAUACCCUCGAGGAAGGACAUCACCCACAGAAGAAGCACCGGCUAACUACGUGCCAGCAGCCGCGGUAAUACGGAGGGUGCGAGCGUUAAUCGGAAUUACUGGGCGUAAAGCGCGCGUAGGCGGUCUGAUAAGCCGGUUGUGAAAGCCCCGGGCUCAACCUGGGAACGGCAUCCGGAACUGUCAGGCUAGAGUGCAGGAGAGGAAGGUAGAAUUCCCGGUGUAGCGGUGAAAUGCGUAGAGAUCGGGAGGAAUACCAGUGGCGAAGGCGGCCUUCUGGACUGACACUGACGCUGAGGUGCGAAAGCGUGGGUAGCAAACAGGAUUAGAUACCCUUGUAGAC